rnacentral:rRNA from 1 species
CGCGUAAAGAACUUGCCUCACAGCUAGGGACAACAUUUAGAAAUGAAUGCUAAUACCUGAUAUUAUGAUUUUAAGGCAUCUUAGAAUUAUGAAAGCUAUAAGCACUGUGAGAGAGCUUUGCGUCCCAUUAGCUAGUUGGAGAGGUAACAGCUCACCAGGGCGAUGAUGGGUAGCCGGCCUGAGAGGGUGAACGGCCACAAGGGGACUGAGACACGGCCCUU